UACGUAGGGUGCAAGCGUUGUCCGGAAUUAUUGGGCGUAAAGAGCUCGUAGGCGGUCUGUCGCGUCUGCUGUGAAAACUCGGGGCUUAACCCCGGGCCUGCAGUGGGUACGGGCAGACUAGAGUGCGGUAGGGGAGACUGGAAUUCCUGGUGUAGCGGUGAAAUGCGCAGAUAUCAGGAGGAACACCAGCGGCGAAGGCGGCGCUCUGGGCCGGUACUGACACUGAGGAGCGAAAGCGUGGGUAGCAAACAGG
rnacentral:rRNA from 1 species